ensembl:misc_RNA Metazoa_SRP Metazoan signal recognition particle RNA
GCCGGGCGUGGUGGCGCACGUCUGUAAUCCCAGCUACUGGGGAGACUGAGGCAGGAGAAUCACUUGAACCCUGGGAGGCAGAGGUUGCAGUGAGCCGAGAUCAUGCCACUGCAUUCCAGCCUGGGCAACAGAGUGAGACUCUGUCUCAG